rnacentral:rRNA from 1 species
CAGCCGCCGCGGUAAUACGUAGGUGGCAAGCGUUGUCCGGAAUUAUUGGGCGUAAAGGGCUCGCAGGCGGUUUCUUAAGUCUGAUGCGAAAGCCCCCGGCUCAACCGGGGAGGGUCAUUGGAAACUGGGAAACUUGAGUGCAGAGGAGGAGAGUGGAAUUCCACGUGUAGCGGUGAAAUGCGUAGAGAUGUGGAGGAACACCAGUGGCGAAGGCGACUCUCUGGUCUAUAACUGACGCUGAGGAGCGAAAGCGUGGGGAGCGAACAGGAUUAGAGACCCGAGUAGUCCCUGUCUCUUAUAA